rnacentral:rRNA from 1 species
UACGUAGGGUGCAAGCGUUGUCCGGAAUUAUUGGGCGUAAAGAGCUCGUAGGCGGUUUGUCGCGUCGAAUGUGAAAACCCGGGGCUCAACCCCGGGCCUGCAGUGGGUACGGGCAGACUAGAGUGCGGUAGGGGAGACUGGAAUUCCUGGUGUAGCGGUGAAAUGCGCAGAUAUCAGGAGGAACACCGGUGGCGAAGGCGGGUCUCUGGGCCAUAACUGACGCUGAGAAGCGAAAGCAUGGGGAGCGAACAGG